CCUUCCUGAAGGAGGCAGGACAGCCACCAAGCCUGUGGUUGGCUCACAGGAAGCCCCCAGAGCAUAAAAAUGAUGAUGCAGGGGCAUCAUUGCAGCCUUAGAGAGGAAGAGGAACAUGGCUGAAGACUUGGUUAAAAGAUUAGUCAAAUAUAGUGUUGAAACAGAUCUUUAAAGUGUUCACAGCAAUUCGGCUUUCAUUUGUAAACAAAGAGCAGACAGCUAGGAAGAUGACACCAGCAGCGGCAGGCGGCGACAGGCGGUGUGACAUCGGAGGUGUGACUUGUGCUGCGUGUCACGCAACCAAACUCAAGUGGAACAUGCACUGUUACAUGUACCAGAUUAUCGGACACGCCUAACAAGUCUGGCGCCAUUCGUAAAGCAACAAAACUGCUUGUCUUGAAAGUCCAGUGACAGAGACAACCUUGGCCAGUGUUGUGUUCGCUUCCUGACAGGGCGGGGAUUGUGACCUGGAAUUUGUCCAGCUUCCUCUUUGCCUUGGAAAGUACAUUCCUGGCUGAGUGUGGUGCGUGUGCCUGCUACUUGUGUGGUGGUGCUGCUGCUGCGUGAAGCCUCUGCCGUGGGAACCCACCACAAAUAGCUAAUGGAUUCUGUAUGAUGGGAUUAGCAGCAGACAGAAUUCCAGUGAUGUAUUAACAUGCCUAGGGACAGCCUUGGGGGCAUCCAUUAUUGGCAGAAGCCCCAGUGUGCUGAGUGACGGGGCGGCAUGACCUUGCACAUCAGAGGGUCAGGCUUCAGUGAGGAGCAGUUCAGCUACUUCAAUCCCUCAAAAGGCAAUUAGGUGUUCUUGGUGAAUAAGGAGGAGGAGAUUGAAUGCAGAGUGAUUGCCUACCUGACCACCAAGGAUAGGAUUGCCUGCGCCAGUGGGUGAGUUGUGGCAGUGCAGUGCAGACUCCAAGGCUCCCCGAGUGUACAGCAUUGUUGUGUGUGUGGAUGGGGUGUGUGUGCCAGACCCCUCACACUCUGUACUGUAUGGCUGGGCAAGGUCACCUACCAUUGAGACAGUAGCUCCUCAUUGGUCAUUGCCAGGCUCUCUUUUCGAUCUUCAUGGCAGUUUCCACAACAGCAAACACUGCAAGCUUGACCACUGAUUUUGUCUCCAAUGAAGCUAAGAGUGGGAGUGUUCUU